GGAGAGAAGCUGGAUUUUUUGCUUUUUGAUGAUCUCUCAGAGGUAACUAUGUGCCUGCUAACUGCUGCAAAAGGAAAAUCGCCUGACUUGGGCUAUGUUCCUGAUUUUCUACAGACUGCCAUGGCUCCAUACAAAAAGGACAUUCAUAAAAAAGACCUGCAUGUGAUCAGCAAUGCUGGGGGCACCAACCCUCUCGUGUGUGCUGCCGCCCUUGACGAGAUGGCCAGGAAGGCUGGCGUCGACCUGAACAUAGCAGUGGUCACU